UGUUGUAAACCUUUAAACUCUAAUAUGUGUUGCUUAUCUUGACAAGAUAAGCAACACAUAUUAGAGUUUAAAGGUAUUUGCUCG
rnacentral:pre_miRNA from 11 species